rnacentral:tRNA from 1 species
GCAGGGAUGGCAGAACCUGGUUAUCGCGCACGCCUGGAAAGCGUGUGGGAGCAAUCCCUUGAGGGUUCAAAUCCCUCUCCCUGCG